AUUGAACGCUGGCGGCAUGCCUAACACAUGCAAGUCGAACGCGAAAGUCCCUCGGGGCGAGUAGAGUGGCGGACGGGUGAGUAAUACGUGGGAAUCUACCUGGUAGUGGGGGACAACCCGGGGAAACUCGGGCUAAUACCGCAUACGUCCUACGGGACAAAGGGGGCCUCUGCUUGCAAGCUCUCGCUACCAGAUGAGCCCACGUCCGAUUAGCUAGUUGGUAGGGUAAAGGCCUACCAAGGCGACGAUCGGUAGCUGGUCUGAGAGGAUGGCCAGCCACACUGGGACUGAGACACGGCCCAGACUCCUACGGGAGGCAGCAGUGGGGAAUAUUGGACAAUGGGCGCAAGCCUGAUCCAGCAAUGCCGCGUGUGUGAAGAAGGCCUGCGGGUUGUAAAGCACUUUCAGUGGGGAGGAAAAG
rnacentral:rRNA from 1 species